rnacentral:rRNA from 1 species
AUUGAACGCUGGCGGCAUGCCUUACACAUGCAAGUCGAACGGCAGCGCGGGAGCAAUCCUGGUGGCGAGUGGCGAACGGGUGAGUAAUAUAUCGGAACGUGCCCGGUCGUGGGGAUAACGUAGCGAAAGCUACGCUAAUACCGCAUACGAUCUACGGAUGAAAGCGGGGGGAUCACAAGACCUCGCGCGAUUGGAGCGGCCGAUAUCAGAUUAGGUAGUUGGUGAGGUAAAGGCUCACCAAGCCGACGAUCUGUAGCUGGUCUGAGAGGACGACCAGCCACACUGGGACUGAGACACGGCCCAGACUCCUACGGGAGGCAGCAGUGGGGAAUAUUGGACAAUGGGCGAAAGCCUGAUCCAGCAAUGCCGCGUGAGUGAUGAAGGCCUUAGGGUUGUAAAGCUCUUUUACCCGAGAUGAUAAUGACAGUAUCGGAGAAUAAGCUCCGGCUAACUCCGUAGCCAGCAGCCGCGGUAAAG